CCUACGGGAGGCAGCAGUGGGGGAUAUUGCACAAUGGGGGAAACCCUGAUGCAGCGACGCCGCGUGGGCGAAGAAGUAUUUCGGUAUGUAAAGCCCUAUCAGCAGGGAAGAAGAAAUGACGGUACCUGAGUAAGAAGCACCGGCUAAAUACGUGCCAGCAGCCGCGGUAAUACGUAUGGUGCAAGCGUUAUCCGGAUUUACUGGGUGUAAAGGGAGCGCAGGCGGCACGGCAAGCCUGAUGUGAAAGCCCGGGGCCCAACCCCGGGACUGCCCUUGGAACUGCAUGGCUGGAGUGCGGGAGGGGCAGGCGGAAUUCCUGGUGUAGCGGUGAAAUGCGUAGAUAUCAGGAGGAACACCGGCGGCGAAGGCGGCCUGCUGGACCGCGACUGACGUUGAGGCUCGAAAGCGUGGGGAGCGAACAGGAUUAGAUACCCCAGUAGUC
rnacentral:rRNA from 1 species